rnacentral:rRNA from 1 species
AAUGAACGCUGGCGGCGUGCUUUACACAUGCAAGUCGAGCGAGGCGGCCCGCAAGGGCCAGUCGAGCGGCGAACGGGUGAGUAACGCGUGGAUUAUCUGCCCUGAGGUGGGGGAUAACCCGGGGAAACUCGGGCUAAUACCGCAUAUGACCGUGAGGUCAAAGGGGGGUCGCAAGAUCUCUCGCCAUAGGAGGAGUCCGCGUUCGAUUAGCUAGUUGGCAGGGUAAUGGCCUACCAAGGCGACGAUCGAUAGCCGGCCUGAGAGGGUGAUCGGCCACACUGGAACUGAGACACGGUCCAGACUCCUACGGGAGGCAGCAGUGGGGAAUUUUGCGCAAUGGGCUAACGCCUGACGCAGCAACGCCGCGUGGAGGAUGAAGGUCCUUGGAUUGUAAACUCCUGUCAGCAGGGAAAAAGCAACUCGGCCUCAUACGCCGGGAAGUUGAUUGUACCUGCAGAGGAAGCCCCGGCUAACUCUGUGCCAGCAGCCGCGGUAAUACAGAGGGGGCAAGCGUUAUUCGGAAUUAUUGGGCGUAAAGGGCGCGUAGGCGGCCUGGCAAGUGGAAGGUGAAAUCCCUCGGCUUAACCGAGGAACUGCCCUCCAAACUGCCUGGCUUGAGACCGGGAGAGGUGAGUGGAAUUCCCAGUGUAGCGGUGAAAUGCGUAGAUAUUGGGAGGAACACCAGUGGCGAAGGCGGCUCACUGGACCGGAACUGACGCUGA